UCGACUUCUUUUCAUCGACUACAGAAAAGAGACGAAGAAAAAGUGAGUUUUAGAUUUUAGGGUUUUCAGUACGAUAUGGCUAACCUUGAGAAGGAAAAAGACGAGGAAAAAACUGGAAGAGCCACAAGAGGAGGCAGAGAUAUACGUCUGGCAGAGACAUACGGACGUGGGUGUUCUCAGUACUAGGCGCAUUGGUCUCUAUCCUGGUGGGAAUAAAACGCAAGUCUGUAGGUCCACUCUGUUGGAAAGGUCUCAAGUGAGUACAAGAGUGAGUGUGUGAACAAAAAACAGAGAGAACAAAACAGAGUACAAGAGAGUGAAGGCCAACCCAAGAAGAGAGCAAAAUCACAACACACUCGUGUUCUUUGGCUCAACUGGAACCAUGCUCGACAUCAUCAUUAGCGUCUCUCAGUGCAAGAGAGAACACACGGAACACCAAAAUAAGUUGCUCCUAAAAUCUUUUUUAUAGAGUUUCUAUUCCAGUAAAGAAUGACUUUGUUGUUACAUUUGUUAUGAUCAAAACUUGUUCUAAGGUUUAGCAUCCGAUGGAAA